GGUGAUUCUCAUGUGUUGCACUCCGGAAUUGGGCUCCCUCCACUUUGGUUCUGGGUGUGUUACCUGAGAAUCACA
rfam:Myotis brandtii contig218397, whole genome shotgun sequence.